rnacentral:rRNA from 1 species
GAUGAACGCUGGCGGCGUGCCUAAUACAUGCAAGUCGAGCGAACAGACCUGGCGCUUGUUCCUCUGACGUUAGCGGCGGACGGGUGAGUACCACGUGGAUAACCUCCCUAUAAGACUGGGCUCACUUGUGGAAACUGGAGCUAAUACCGGAUAAUAUAUUCAACCUCAUGGUUCAAUAGUCAAAGACGGUUUUUAUGUGACUUCUUGAUCGAUCCCCGCGGCAUUGCCCCGCUGUGCAUUAGCUAGUUGGUAAGGUAAAGGCUUACCAAGGCAAUGAUGCGUAGCCGACCUGAGAGGGUGAUCGGCCACACUGGAGCUGAGACACGGUCCAGACUCCUACGGGAGGCAGCAGUAGGGAAUCUUCCACAAUGGGCGAAAGCCUGACGGAGCAACGCCGCGUGAGUGAAGAAGGUCUUCGGAUCGUAAAGCUCUGUUAUUAGGGAAGAAGAAAUGUGUAAGUAACUAGGCACGACUUGACGGUACCUAAUCAGAAAGCCACGGCUAACUACGUG